rnacentral:rRNA from 1 species
UGGGGAAUAUUGCACAAUGGAGGAAACUCUGAUGCAGCGACGCCGCGUGAGUGAAGAAGGUCUUCGGAUCGUAAAACUCUGUCCUUGGUGACGAAAAAAAUGACGGUAGCCAAGGAGGAAGCCCCGGCUAACUACGUGCCAGCAGCCGCGGUAAUACGUAGGGGGCGAGCGUUGUCCGGAUUUACUGGGCGUAAAGGGUGAGUAGGCGGUAAUAUGUGUCAGAUGUAAAAGGCUAUGGCUUAACCAUAGUUGGCAUUUGAAACUGUAUUACUUGAGUGCAGGAGAGGUAAGUGGAAUUCCUAGUGUGGCGGUGAAAUGCGUAGAUAUUAGGAGGAACACCAGUGGCGAAGGCGACUUACUGGACUGUAACUGACGCUGAGUCACGAAAGCGUGGUAGCAAACA